ACGUGGUGAAAGAAAGCAGCGAGGUUCUAUCCAUAGCUGGAGUAGAAUCCACUCCGUGGCCAGGCCCUGGGCUGCACGCACAUUAAUGGAGACCAUCACACUGGGAAGGCUGGAAGGGGGCUGGGCCCUCCUCCCAGGCCUGCUGGCUGGCUGGCUCUGUUCUGAAUGACACAGCUAAUUAAGGUUUGUGUAUGAAGCCCCUGCAUCUUCUUCAAGGUAGUCAGGAGCUCUGCUAAAGCUACACAAACUACAUUCUCCAGGAAGCCUUCUGCCUCUUGAGAACAUGCUCAGAAAGAAGUAAACCUGUGCACCCACCGCCACCAGGCAAUUGUAAUAAUAAAGUGAAGGCAACCAUCUUCACAAAUUUUUCCAUAAAUCAGAAACUCUUUGAAGAGGGACAGCGCACUUGAACCGACCCUGAAGUCGUGAGGCUAGCGUUGAAGGCCAGAGCUCAGUCCGCAAGGGGAGGAGGCGGGGG
rnacentral:lncRNA from 1 species